rnacentral:rRNA from 1 species
GACGAACGCUGGCGGCGUGCUUAACACAUGCAAGUCGAACGGAAAGGCCCUGCUUUUGUGGGGUGCUCGAGUGGCGAACGGGUGAGUAACACGUGAGUAACCUGCCCUUGACUUUGGGAUAACUUCAGGAAACUGGGGCUAAUACCGGAUAGGAGCUCCUGCUGCAUGGUGGGGGUUGGAAAGUUUCGGCGGUUGGGGAUGGGCUCGCGGCUUAUCCGCUUGUUGGUGGGGUAGUGGCUUACCAAGGCUUUGACGGGUAGCCGGCCUGAGAGGGUGACCGGCCACAUGGGGACUGCGAUACGGCCCAGACUCCUACGGGAGGCAGCAGUGGGGAAUAUUGCACAAUGGGCGGAAGCCUGAUGCAGCAACGCCGCGUGCGGGAUGACGGCCUUCGGGUUGUAAACCGCUUUCGCCUGUGACGAAGCGUGAGUGACGGUAAUGGGUAAAGAAGCACCGGCUAACUACGUG